rnacentral:rRNA from 1 species
GACGAACGCUGGCGGCGUGCUUAACACAUGCAAGUCGAGCGGUAAGGCCUCUUCGGAGGUACACGAGCGGCGAACGGGUGAGUAACACGUGAGCAACCUACCCAUCACAUCGGGAUAACCCCCGGAAACGGGAGCUAAUACCGAAUACGACCACCUCAGACAUCUGACGGUGGUGGAAAGCUCCGGCGGUGGUGGAGGGGCUCGCGGCCUAUCAGCUUGUUGGUGGGGUAACGGCCUACCAAGGCUUCGACGGGUAGCCGGCCUGAGAGGGUGACCGGCCACACUGGGACUGAGACACGGCCCAGACUCCUACGGGAGGCAGCAGUGGGGAAUAUUGGGCAAUGGACGAAAGUCUGACCCAGCCAUGCCGCGUGAAGGAUUAAGGUCCUCUGGAUUGUAAACUUCUUUUCUCUGGGGCGAAAAACAGCUAUUCUUAGUUGCUUGACAGUACCAGAGGAAUAAGCACCGGCUAACUCCGUGCCAGC